UGGGAGUUGGAUCUGGACGAUAGUUUCGUCAAUCCGGUCAGGACUGAAAAGAAGCAGCCGCAACGAACGCUUUUGGGUCAGUUUCCAGCUCCUUUCG
rnacentral:SRP_RNA from 1 species